rnacentral:rRNA from 1 species
GAUGAACGCUGGCGGCGUGCCUAAUACAUGCCAGUCGAGCGAACAGACGAGGAGCUUGCUCCUCUGACGUUAGCGGCGGACGGGUGAGUAACACGUGGAUAACCUACCUAUAAGACUGGGAUAACUUCGGGAAACCGGAGCUAAUACCGGAUAAUAUGUUGAACCGCAUGGUUCAAUAGUGAAAGACGGUUUUGCUGUCACUUAUAGAUGGAUCCGCGCCGCAUUAGCUAGUUGGUAAGGUAACGGCUUACCAAGGCAACGAUGCGUAGCCGACCUGAGAGGGUGAUCGGCCACACUGGAACUGAGACACGGUCCAGACUCCUACGGGAGGCAGCAGUAGGGAAUCUUCCGCAAUGGGCGAAAGCCUGACGGAGCAACGCCGCGUGAGUGAAGAAGGUCUUCGGAUCGUAAAACUCUGUUAUUAGGGAAGAACAAAUGUGUAAGUAACUAUGCACGUCUUGACGGUACCUAAUCAGAAAGCCACGGCUAACUACGUG